AUAUAUGAGAGGCUUGCUAAUAUUUUUGGGAAGGAUCGGGCAACAGGACAUGGAGCACAAACUCCAAUUGAUUUAGUUAAUGAUAUAAAUAUGGAGCCUGACAAUGACCAAUUUGAUGAUGUGAGUUCUCCAAUGUCUAUGAAUCAAACACAUAGUCAACUGCCCACACAAUCCCAAUUAAGAGUUAGACAAGUUGGAGAAGUCUGAUAUCAACUAUCCACAAUACUUAGCUAUGGAGCUUGACAGGUUAGGAUUCCCUAUUACUGACAAUCUCAAAAUCUCUAAGGCAAUGAGAUCGGAUCCAUCGAACGUUGAGGUUUUCAAGAUUAUUAAAACCGAUGCGCAGAAGAUUGAAUUUGCUCGUGGAUUUUUGGAUAACUAAAUUAGUAUUGUUGUGGAUUAUAUAUUUAUGGAUAUGUAUGAGAGGAUGACAACUAUGAACAUUUGGAAUUGAAACUUAUGGACAUAUAUUGUAACGUAUUGAAUGUUGGUUUCUAAUUAUGCAUGUACGGAUAAUUUUAUUAUUA